rnacentral:lncRNA from 10 species
UUACAGAUGUGAGCCACCGUGCCUGGCCACUGGAUUUUUAUAGUAAACAAUGACCUCUGUGACUCUUAACGAGAGAUGAAUAGAUACAAAAAGUCUUAUAAGCAAAAACAUCGCUGAAAGCCAGAGUUUACUGGUGCCCUUCUUUGCCCACAGCCAAGCAGGGCCGCUGGGUUCACCUUGACCUCCACUGACUCUUCCUAAGCAGGCUCAGUGUCCAGGGCCCGGGCAUGGCCUGCAGGGCUGUGGGGGUACCUCCCCGCUCCCUCUCCUUCCUGGCUCUCAGUUUCCUGAGCUGCGUGUCCCCAGUGUUCUCUUCAACAUGAGCCUGACAAAUCCCAGGGUGCAGAGAAUCCAGGGCUGGUGCAGGAUGGCGCUGCCCCCGCCCAGGCUCAUGCCCAGCCUUCAAUGAAUACAGUUUUAGUUACUGAAUGACAGUGGAUGGUGGAGCCCAUGGAGGGUGUGAUGAACACCAAGUGGGGCCUGACACAGACUCGGCAGCCUCAGGAAGGCAGGAGGUAGUGAGGAGCGCCCGAAGUGUGGGAGGAGGUGACAGGGUCAGGGGGCAGACAUCCUUCCCAUGGGGCCCAGCCCUGGGCCAGGGCAGAGAGUUGAGGUAACAUCAGUAGAUGAGUGAGCACUCCUGAGUUACGAAUAGAGAACAAAUCGCCAAAAUAACAGCAUGCAUUUACACAUGCUCACACGUGCCAGGCACUGCUCUGAGACGAUAACUCAGUUAAUGCUCACAAUUCUCUUAUCCUCAUCCGAGAAAUAGAAUAAUUUGCCUGGGCGUGCAGCAAGUGAGUGGUGGACCCGAACCAGAACCUACGUAAGCCCACGUGCUUGACCUGAAUUCAGAGGAUUGGAAACCCAGGGCUUAGAGCUUGAAAACGCACAGUGUG